UGUUCUGGAAAAUGCUCUUUUCUAAAAUGCACCCAGACGCAAUCUCCAGGCUCAAAUGUAACGCGUCUUCUUCCUUUAUUUGCUUUUGAUGCAAUCAGCUUUCCUUUCUCUUCGAUCUGCAUCCUGACCUUUUCAUGGAGUGUUUUCACCAUCUCGACUUUUCGUUUCCCAUCCAAGCUACCUCGUUCAUGCACAGGCAAAGGCAUUAAAUCCAUAGGUGUUAGUGGAUUAAAACCAUAAACAAUUUCAAAAGGAGAAAACGAAGUAGUAGAAUGUGUAGCUCGAUUAUAUGCAAACUCUAUAAACGGUAAACACUCUUCCC
rnacentral:lncRNA from 1 species